AAUCCAUAGGUUAAUGAGGCGAACCGGGGGAACUGAAACAUCUAAGUACCCCGAGGAAAAGAAAUCAACCGAGAUUCCCCCAGUAGCGGCGAGCGAACGGGGAGGAGCCCAGAGCCUGAAUCAGCAUGUGUGUUAGUGGAAGCGUCUGGAAAGGCGCGCGAUACAGGGUGACAGCCCCGUACACAAAAGCGCAUGUGCUGUGAGCUCGAUGAGUAGGGCGGGACACGUGGUAUCCUGUCUGAAUAUGGGGGGACCAUCCUCCAAGGCUAAAUACUCCUGACUGACCGAUAGUGAACCAGUACCGUGAGGGAAAGGCGAAAAGAACCCCGGCGAGGGGAGUGAAAAAGAACCUGAAACCGUGUACGUACAAGCAGUGGGAGCACAGGUUUACCUGUGUGACUGCGUACCUUUUGUAUAAUGGGUCAGCGACUUAUAUUCUGUAGCAAGGUUAACCGAAUAGGGGAGCCGGAGGGAAACCGAGUCUUAAUUGGGCGUUAAGUUGCAGGGUAUAGACCCGAAACCCGGUGAUCUAGCCAUGGGCAGGUUGAAGGUUGGGUAACACUAACUGGAGGACCGAACCGACUAAUGUUGAAAAAUUAGCGGAUGACCUGUGGCUGGGGGUGAAAGGCCAAUCAAACCGGGAGAUAGCUGGUUCUCCCCGAAAGCUAUUUAGGUAGCGCCUCGUGAAUUCAUCUCCGGGGGUAGAGCACUGUUUCGGCUAGGGGGCCAUCCCGGCUUACCAACCCGAUGCAAACUGCGAAUACCGGAGAAUGUUAUCACGGGAGACACACGGCGGGUGCUAACGUCCGUCGUGAAGAGGGAAACAACCCAGACCGCCAGCUAAGGUCCCAAAGUCAUGGUUAAGUGGGAAACGAUGUGGGAAGGCCCAGACAGCCAGGAUGUUGGCUUAGAAGCAGCCAUCAUUUAAAGAAAGCGUAAUAGCUCACUGGUCGAGUCGGCCUGCGCGGAAGAUGUAACGGGGCUAAACCAUGCACCGAAGCUGCGGCAGCGACACUGUGUGUUGUUGGGUAGGGGAGCGUUCUGUAAGCCUGUGAAGGUGUGUCGUGAGGCAUGCUGGAGGUAUCAGAAGUGCGAAUGCUGACAUAAGUAACGAUAAAGCGGGUGAAAAGCCCGCUCGCCGGAAGACCAAGGGUUCCUGUCCAACGUUAAUCGGGGCAGGGUGAGUCGACCCCUAAGGCGAGGCCGAAAGGCGUAGUCGAUGGGAAACGGGUUAAUAUUCCCGUACUUGGUGUUACUGCGAAGGGGGGACGGAGAAGGCUAUGUUGGCCGGGCGACGGUUGUCCCGGUUUAAGCGUGUAGGUGUGUGUUCCAGGUAAAUCCGGUUCACUUUAACACUGAGGCGUGACGACGAGGCACUACGGUGCUGAAGCAACAAAUGCCCUGCUUCCAGGAAAAGCCUCUAAGCAUCAGGUAACAUCAAAUCGUACCCCAAACCGACACAGGUGGUCAGGUAGAGAAUACCAAGGCGCUUGAGAGAACUCGGGUGAAGGAACUAGGCAAAAUGGUGCCGUAACUUCGGGAGAAGGCACGCUGACACGUAGGUGAAGUGAUUUACUCAUGGAGCUGAAGUCAGUCGAAGAUACCAGCUGGCUGCAACUGUUUAUUAAAAACACAGCACUGUGCAAACACGAAAGUGGACGUAUACGGUGUGACGCCUGCCCGGUGCCGGAAGGUUAAUUGAUGGGGUCAGCGCAAGCGAAGCUCCUGAUCGAAGCCCCGGUAAACGGCGGCCGUAACUAUAACGGUCCUAAGGUAGCGAAAUUCCUUGUCGGGUAAGUUCCGACCUGCACGAAUGGCGUAAUGAUGGCCAGGCUGUCUCCACCCGAGACUCAGUGAAAUUGAACUCGCUGUGAAGAUGCAGUGUACCCGCGGCAAGACGGAAAGACCCCGUGAACCUUUACUAUAGCUUGACACUGAACAUUGAGCCUUGAUGUGUAGGAUAGGUGGGAGGCUUUGAAGUGUGGACGCCAGUCUGCAUGGAGCCGACCUUGAAAUACCACCCUUUAAUGUUUGAUGUUCUAACGUGGACCCGUUACCCGGGUUGCGGACAGUGUCUGGUGGGUAGUUUGACUGGGGCGGUCUCCUCCUAAAGAGUAACGGAGGAGCACGAAGGUUGGCUAAUCCUGGUCGGACAUCAGGAGGUUAGUGCAAUGGCAUAAGCCAGCUUGACUGCGAGCGUGACGGCGCGAGCAGGUGCGAAAGCAGGUCAUAGUGAUCCGGUGGUUCUGAAUGGAAGGGCCAUCGCUCAACGGAUAAAAGGUACUCCGGGGAUAACAGGCUGAUACCGCCCAAGAGUUCAUAUCGACGGCGGUGUUUGGCACCUCGAUGUCGGCUCAUCACAUCCUGGGGCUGAAGUAGGUCCCAAGGGUAUGGCUGUUCGCCAUUUAAAGUGGUACGCGAGCUGGGUUUAGAACGUCGUGAGACAGUUCGGUCCCUAUCUGCCGUGGGCGCUGGAGAACUGAGGGGGGCUGCUCCUAGUACGAGAGGACCGGAGUGGACGCAUCACUGGUGUUCGGGUUGUCAUGCCAAUGGCACUGCCCGGUAGCUAAAUGCGGAAGAGAUAAGUGCUGAAAGCAUCUAAGCACGAAA
rnacentral:rRNA from 1 species